UGCUUGGGCUAGAGUAGUACUGGCAUGGGUGACCUCUCAGGAAGUCCUAGUGUUGCACCCU
rnacentral:rRNA from 1 species